rnacentral:rRNA from 1 species
CCAGACUCCUACGGGAGGCAGCAGUGAGGAAUAUUGGUCAAUGGGCUUACGCCUGAACCAGCCAAGUCGCGUGAGGGAAGACUGCCCUAUGGGUUGUAAACCUCUUUUGUCAGGGAGCAACGCCGGCUACGUGUAGCCGGACUGAGAGUACCUGAAGAAAAAGCAUCGGCUAACUCCGUGCCAGCAGCCGCGGUAAUACGUAUGGAGCAAGCGUUAUCCGGAUUUACUGGGUGUAAAGGGAGCGCAGGCGGCUUUGCAAGUCUGAUGUGAAAGGCCGGGGCUCAACCCCGGGACUGCAUUGGAAACUGUAAAGCUAGAGUGCCGGAGAGGUAAGCGGAAUUCCUAGUGUAGCGGUGAAAUGCGUAGAUAUUAGGAGGAACACCAGUGGCGAAGGCGGCUUACUGGACGGCAACUGACGCUGAGGCUCGAAAGCGUGGGGAGCAAACAGGAUUAGAUACCCUUGUA